UCCACAGUUAGUGCUGACAGCCUGCGUCUCCACUUCAGCAGCCGGCGGGCGCCGCUCACACGGAGGUGGUCUUGUGGCUGCUGCUCUGAGGAACAGAGAUCCGCAGGGCCUCUCCGUCUUCCUCCUCCUCAUCGCUGUCGGUGUCCUCGAGUUUGGGGUGUAGUUUGAUACGGCUCCUCUGCUGGGGGACCUGCAGGGGGGAGACCUUGACCCCAUCGUCGUCCGAAGACUGAUGCUAUAUGACCUGAGGUGCUGUGCUAAGGCCUGGAUCACCUCCCUGAGAUCCCCUGCUCCAAUAUCGUCGUGGACCAGCUCUAUUUUUGCUUCACUGUCUUGUGUCUCUGAAGCAGGUUUAAGUGUGAAUGAUUAAAAUGGGUAUAGUUGUA